AAUAUUUUUCUUUUUUUAUAAAUAUUUUAUUCGCUAGCGUAAUAUACCACCACCUGUGCUCUCGAUUUUCUUCUCCUUCGCAUCAACCAGAAAACCAGAAUUUUCCCACAAACACAAAGCGUUCUGGUUCUGCGUCUUCUUCACGCUGUUCGAGGCGGCAUCUCUGAAUCCGGAUCCUAACUGUUUCGACCGGGCCUAUUCUUCGCUUCUCCAGAUCUGCUUCAGGUUAACUUAGA
rnacentral:misc_RNA from 1 species